rnacentral:rRNA from 1 species
UGAAGAGUUUGAUCAUGGCUCAGAUUGAACGCUGGCGGCAGGCCUAACACAUGCAAGUCGAACGGUAACAGGAAGCAGCUUGCUGCUUUGCUGACGAGUGGCGGACGGGUGAGUAAUGUCUGGGAAACUGCCUGAUGGAGGGGGAUAACUACUGGAAACGGUGGCUAAUACCGCAUAACGUCGCAAGACCAAAGAGGGGGACCUUCGGGCCUCUUGCCAUCAGAUGUGCCCAGAUGGGAUUAGCUUGUUGGUGAGGUAACGGCUCACCAAGGCGACGAUCCCUAGCUGGUCUGAGAGGAUGACCAGCCACACUGGAACUGAGACACGGUCCAGACUCCUACGGGAGGCAGCAGUGGGGAAUAUUGCACAAUGGGCGCAAGCCUGAUGCAGCCAUGCCGCGUGUAUGAAGAAGGCCUUCGGGUUGUAAAGUACUUUCAGCGGGGAGGAAGGUGUUGUGGUUAAUAACCGCAGCAAUUGACGUUACCCGCAGAAGAAGCACCGGCUAACUCCGUGCCAGCAGCCGCGGUAAUACGGAGGGUGCAAGCGUUAAUCGGAAUUACUGGGCGUAAAGCGCACGCAGGCGGUCUGUCAAGUCGGAUGUGAAAUCCCCGGGCUCAACCUGGGAACUGCAUUCGAAACUGGCAGGCUUGAGUCUUGUAGAGGGGGGUAGAAUUCCAGGUGUAGCGGUGAAAUGCGUAGAGAUCUGGAGGAAUACCGGUGGCGAAGGCGGCCCCCUGGACAAAGACUGACGCUCAGGUGCGAAAGCGUGGGGAGCAAACAGGAUUAGAUACCCUGGUAGUCCACGCCGUAAACGAUGUCUACUUGGAGGUUGUGCCCUUGAGGCGUGGCUUCCGGAGCUAACGCGUUAAGUAGACCGCCUGGGGAGUACGGCCGCAAGGUUAAAACUCAAAUGAAUUGACGGGGGCCCGCACAAGCGGUGGAGCAUGUGGUUUAAUUCGAUGCAACGCGAAGAACCUUACCUGGUCUUGACAUCCACAGAACUUUCCAGAGAUGGAUUGGUGCCUUCGGGAACUGUGAGACAGGUGCUGCA